rnacentral:tRNA from 1 species
UUAUCGAAGAAAAUCAAAAAUUAUCAGUAAAAGGAGUAGUUUUGGCUGGUUCUGGCGAA